rnacentral:rRNA from 1 species
GAUGAACGCUGACAGAAUGCUUAACACAUGCAAGUCGAUGGGGAAGUGGUGCUUGCACCAUGGUAACCAUGGCGGACGGGUGAGUAACGCGUAAGGAACUUGCCUGCGGGACUGGGAUAACAGCAGGAAACUGCUGAUAAUACCGGAUAAGGUCAUUAAGCUGCAUAGCUUAGUGAUGAAAGGAGACGCCUGCGGAGAGCCUUGCGUCCUAUUAGCUAGUUGGAGGGGUAACGGCCCACCAAGGCGAAGAUAGGUAGCCGGCCUGAGAGGGUGGACGGCCACAAGGGGACUGAGAUACGGCCCUUACUCCUACGGGAGGCAGCAGUGGGGAAUAUUGGACAAUGGGGGCAACCCUGAUCCAGCAAUUCUGUGUGCACGAAGACGGUUUUCGGAUUGUAAAGUGCUCUCAGCAGGGAAGAAGGAAGUGACGGUACCUGCAGAAGAAGCGACGGCUAAAUACGUG